CAUCUCCCCUCCUCAACCAGUAAUGGCAGCCCCCUGAGCAGGGCCUUUCCAGCGAGGGCUCCAGAGGGCUCUGGCCGCAGACCUGCCACGGCUUGCUUGUAUGUUCAGUCCUGACGUUCAGGAACUAACAUCGCUUAAAUAUUUAUGCAAACUUCUGUCCACGGAGUUACGGAGGCCGAUUGAGGCUUCUCUGUCCUCCACGGGGAACAGCAUUGGCCUAAACCUGCAGACACCAUUGCAAAGGGAAGUCAGCUCAGGCGAGCCCGCUGGUGAAGAAUGAUUCCAGCGUGGGGACACGGAGGCCGACAUUUCUUGCUGUGGGUGAUUUAAUGUUGGGCUUCAUCUGUUCACUCCCCCAGGUGCAGCCUAGCCAGGGCCCGAGGGAGGGUGGAUGGACUUAUCCAUCCCACAGGUGUUGCUCGUGGCUGGGUGACUUGCUUCUGCCAACGAGAUUUGCAUGGACACGGCACAAGCAGGAGCCUGGAACGUGCGGGCACUGCCAGGCCUGCCCUCUGAGGCUCUUGAUUUUCCCCACGAGAUGCGCGUGCCCCAGGGAACAGCGGCUCUGGCUGCAGGAUGAGAGGCGUGUGGAGCACACAUGGUUCCCACGCUCAGCCUGGAGUCAAGCCCAGACCUAGAUCAGCCUAAGCCCAGCCACGCCACAGGUGCAGGAGUGAAGAGCAAACGCUAACUGUCCAUGACAGUGGCUUUCAAAGGGGCGUGUCGUGUGCCUCAUCCCAGCAACAGUGACGGCAUUUCUCUGUCAGUCGGGAAAUGAUUAUGACAAGCAGUGUGCGGGGAAGCUGGAGUGAUUUGAGUAGAUCUGGCCUCUGUUCUCACGGAGCUUCCUUUCUAGACGGGAAGGCAGAUGAUGGAUGAAUAAAUACAUAUGAUUCUAACAGGUUGGUGCAGCAGUCAUUAAAAAUAAUGACACACAAAAAAAGGGAGGAGCCGCUGCCGCAGUUCAUUAAUAGUAAUGGCAGAAACCGCGAUGACGUCUGCACCAACCUAACACAGUGAUCACCGGUGUGCAAAAUGUGGCAGUGGGGGGUUCCGAGUGCUGGGAUGGCAUCUGGCUUCCUGGAGUCAGGAGACGGUGGUUGGCAACCGAACCAAGGUUAAGUCCCAGUGAGGGGGGUGGGCAGGGAGCGAUAUUUCAGUGGAGACUCCAAGGAUGAAUGGCAUUUAGAGAGUAAACCCUGGCCGGGCGCGGUGGCUCACGCCUGUAAUCCCAGCACUUUGGGAGGCCGAGGCGGGCAGAUCACGAGGUCAGGAGAUCGAGACCAUCCUGGCUAACCUGGUGAAACCCCAUCUCUACUAAAAAUACAAAAAAACUAGCUGGGCGAGGUGGCGGCGCCUGUAGUCCCAGCUACUCGGGAGACUGAGGCAGGAGAAUGGCGGGAACCCGGGAGGCGGAGCUUGCAGUAAACUGUGAUCGCAUCACUCACUCCAGCCUGGGCGACAGAGCCAGACUCCGUCUCAAAAAAAAAAAAAAAAAAAA
rnacentral:lncRNA from 1 species